rnacentral:snRNA from 1 species
AUACCUUGCUCGGCCUUUUGGCUAAGAUCAAGGGUAGUAACUCUUUCUAUCAGUUUAAUAUCCGAUCGUGGGUCACUGACUCAGAAUGAUAAUUCAUUUCUUAGGAAAGGAUUUCCACCACAAAUCCUCAAGUGUCGCCAUGCUUUGUACUACUUUACAGGCCUGGCAGGCCCCAC